AAGCGGAUCUAGAGAUGGAAAGCCCGGGCCACCCUACACCUUUUCAUUUUCACUGCCUUGUCGCCUCCUGGAGGCUCUGUGGUUUCACUCCAUGGUAUUAAAUCUUCGUUCACCUUUCCGACUCACGAUGCAUGUGGCCAUUUGAAAUAGAAGAUGCAGCCUUGAAAUAUCUCUUUUCCUUUUUAGGACUCAUUUGAUUUGUAGAAAUUUUUUUUUUUUAUAAAAAAGUUAUUUUUUUAAAAUACAAUAUCUAAGAAUAUGGUUUUGAUAUUUUUGUUUGAUCGUAGAAAAGUAGUUUAUUGUAAAAUAAUUUAUAUUCGAUUAAAUAUUUAUUUUUUAAAAAAAUUAUAUAAAAUAUCUAUUAUAUCUUUAACAGAUAUUAAUUUCAAAUUCUACAUAAAUAUUAAUAUAAUAUUUAUAUUAAUAUAAAUAUAAUUUAAAUAUAAUAUAACAUUAAUAUAAUAUAUAUAAUAUUAGAUUAUAAUAAUUAUUAUAUUAAUACAACAUUAAUAUAUAUCUAUUGAUAUAAUAUUAAUAUUUUAAUAUAACAAAUGUAUUGAUAUAGAUAUUAAUAUAAUAUUAAUAUUAAUAAAUUAAUAUUAUAUUAAUAUGAAUAAAAAUAUUAUAUUACUAUAAAUAUAAAAUAAUAUUAAUAUAAUAUAAUAUUUAUAUUUAUCGGAACAACAUUAAAAAGAUAUUUUUGAAAAAAAAUUAUGAAUUUUCAUUCUAUAAGAAAUUCUAAAAUUUAUCUCUUCUAUGGGAAUAUACUUUCUAAGAAAUGUGAAAAAUAUCUUUUCAUAAGGAGAGCUUUUGUUAUUCUUCAUCUUGAAAUUCUAAUCAGACAAGGAAAUUUUUCUUUACUUUCAAAAAAUUAUCUUUUCCUCCCUCCAUUUCUACGAACCAAACAAAUCCUUAGUCUGUGUAGAUCUUAUAUUUUUCUAUACAACUGAAAUAGUUGUUCUGUCUGUACGCAAAAAAAGAAAUUGCUCCAUGAGUAUAAUAACUAUUUUAGUUGAUAAACUAAAACAAAGAAAAAGAAGACAUAAUUCAGAAAAAUUAUUUAGAUUACCACUUUUGGAGUACUUUUUGCCGACAAGGCUAAAAUGGUGCAGAUCCACGUCUAUCUUUUUUUCUUGAGGGGAGGGUAUCAAGCAUACGUGACGGUCAGUGCCAGUUUGAAGUGGGACCAGACAUUGUUCUGCUGCACACAUGAUCCUCUGCUUCAGUGUAAACACUUGCACAUUGUGUUCUGUAUAUGAUAUUGGGGAAUUUAUGUUUCAUAUGGAACCAUGCAAAGUGUCAUUGUUUAACUGAUUCUUAUGAUUACUUCUGUGAAUAUAGCCCUGAUGACAUAGAUAAGCCUGGGCAUAUAAAAUCGAUUCAUGUUAUUCUCUUUUGCCAAAAUCCGACCUUGUAUUGAGAAAUCCCCACAUGCAUUAUUCUUUGGAUAUUUUCUUUAUCAUGUAAUUUUACAAGUC
rnacentral:lncRNA from 1 species